AUUGAACGCUGGCGGCGUGCCUAACACAUGCAAGUCGAGCGGCAGCGCGGGAGCAAUCCUGGCGGCGAGCGGCGGACGGGUGAGUAACGCUUGGGAAUCUGCCUGUUAGUGGGGGACAACCCGGGGAAACUCGGGCUAAUACCGCAUACGCACUACGGUGGAAAGCCGGGGACCGCAAGGCCUGGCGCUAACAGAUGAGCCCAAGUCGGAUUAGCUAGUUGGUAGGGUAACGGCCUACCAAGGCGACGAUCCGUAACUGGUCUGAGAGGACGACCAGUCACACCGGAACUGAGACACGGUCCGGACUCCUACGGGAGGCAGCAGUGGGGAAUAUUGGACAAUGGGGGAAACCCUGAUCCAGCGACGCCGCGUGGGUGAAGAAGGCCUGCGGGUUGUAAAGCCCUUUCAGUGGGGAAGAAAAGCCUCGACCUAACACGUCGGGGUCUUGACGUAACCCAUAGAAGAAGCACCGGCUAACUCUGUGCCAG
rnacentral:rRNA from 1 species